UGCACCCUAUGGGGGGCAGCAGUGGGGGAUAUUGCACAAUGGGGGAAACCCUGAUGCAGCGACGCCGCGUGAGUGAAGAAGUAUUUCGGUACGUAAAGCUCUAUCAGCAGGGAAGAAAAAUGACGGUACCUGACUAAGAAGCCCCGGCUAACUACGUGCCAGCAGCCGCGGUAAUACGUAGGGGGCAAGCGUUAUCCGGAUUUACUGGGUGUAAAGGGAGCGUAGACGGCGCGGCAAGUCUGAAGUGAAAGGCAGGGGCUUAACCCCUGAACUGCUUUGGAAACUGCCAUGCU
rnacentral:rRNA from 1 species